CUUGGUGUUGAGACCUGCUGUCAAGGCAGUCUCUAAAAUCAGUGGCAGUGCUGUCAGGCUCUAAGCGUAGUAAAUUCAUCGCUAUAGACACCUGGUGGCCACUCGCCAGAACCCCCCCAUUUUUUAAUGAUUGACCUCGGAUUAGGUAGGGAUACCCGCUGAACUUAAGCAUAUCAAUAAGCGGAGGAAAAGAAACCACCAGGGAUCGCCUCAGUAACGGCGAGUGAAGCGGCAAAAGCUCAAAUUUGAAAUCUGGCUCUUUUAGGGUCCGAGUUGUAAUUUGUAGAAGAUGUUUCGGGUGUGGCUCCGGUUUAAGUUCUUUGGAAUAUUACAUCAUAGAGGGUGAGAAUCCCGUAUGUGACCGGCAGCCUUCGCCUAUGUGAAACUCUUUCGACGAGUCGAGUUGUUUGGGAAUGCAGCUCAAAAUGGGAGGUAUAUUUCUUCUAAAGCUAAAUAUUGGCCAGAGACCGAUAGCGCACAAGUAGAGUGAUCGAAAGAUGAAAAGCACUUUGGAAAGAGAGUUAAACAGUACGUGAAAUUGUUGAAAGGGAAGCGCUUGCAACCAGACUUGCACGCAGUUGAUCAUCCGGUGUUUCUCACCGGGGCACUCUGCUGUGUUCAGGCCACCAUCGGUUUUGGUGGUUGGAUAAAGGCCUGGGAAU
rnacentral:rRNA from 1 species